UGCGUAGGGGGCAAGCGUUAUCCGGAUUUACUGGGUGUAAAGGGGGCGCAGACGGCGAUGCAAGCCAGGAGUGAAAGCCCGGGGCCCAACCCCGGGACUGCUCUUGGAACUGCGUGGCUGGAGUGCAGGAGGGGCAGGCGGAAUUCCUGGUGUAGCGGUGAAAUGCGUAGAUAUCAGGAGGAACACCGGUGGCGAAGGCGGCCUGCUGGACUGCAACUGACGUUGAGGCCCGAAAGCGUGGGGAGCAAACAGG
rnacentral:rRNA from 1 species